UCUACUGUAUUUACUCAUGCUCUCUCAGAAAAAACCCUAACACACUCAGAAACUUCCUGUCAACUCUCACACUCUCUCUCAUGGGCGCCGCCGUUGUCCUUGCCGGCGCUCCUACUCCACCGUUCGCGUGAAGUUGUUUGUGUGGCUGCGCCUUCCCUCCUCUCGUCUCGAUCUCCACCUCAUCUCACCUUCCGUUCGCGUGUUCGGCCACCAUCUCUGCUUCUCCGUUUCCAACUUUCAAUCCUUACUUCAAUCUCUCAAGAUUUGAAGGCCCUAAAUACAGUGGGGGAAGCUCAUCAAUAAUUUUCUCUAAGUUUCUCUUCUCAAUAUACUCUGUGAAUAGUUUGUCGGUUGCAAAGGAGAAAAAAUCCAGUAUGUUGCAUUCCUUGCCAUAUCAUGUGGUGUCUAUUGUCUAUUUGACAAAUUAAAAGCUAUCUCACAUACAAGGUACUGAAGAAUUUCUUUGAACAUCCAGUAUGUUUAAUUUGUCAAAAUCUGCCAUAUGCAUAUCAUUAAACCUCUCUUCUCAUUUAGCCAUCUGUUAUUGGUAUAUAGUAUAUACCCCUUUGUUCAUAAUCUUUUUUAUUCAAAUGGAAACUUUUCCCAAAGUGAUGCACUUAAUCCAGCAAAAUCACAAGCCAAUCCAUGAUAACAUGUCUCGAAAAUGGUAUUUGCUGCAAUCUCAUGUACUGAAGUAUUUCUUGUAGUUGAGGGGUGAUUUUGUGUUCUAGUGAUGAGCUUAGUUUUGGGAUUUAGCGAGGGAAUUAGCAAAGUAAUGGAAAUAAAAAUGUUAGGCCGUUAGCGACGGAAACCUCCGUCGCAAUUAGCGACGGACUGUCUGUUCCGUCUGAAAUAGCUACGGACUAUCAUUCUCCCUCGCUAAUAGCGAUGGACUGUGCCGUCGCAAAUAGCGACGGAAAGAGGGCUAAUACGGCAAACAAGUUAGCGACGGAAUUAUAUAAACCAGCGACGGAAAUAUUCCGUCGCCGACAGCGACGGAUUUAGAUUCCGUCGGUAAA